AUCCAGCCGACAAGUCCCAAACAGGACGAAACGUCUGUCCUGGAU
rfam:Schistosoma haematobium scaffold811_8, whole genome shotgun sequence.